rnacentral:rRNA from 1 species
CGUGCAGGCGGCAUGAUAAGUUGGAUGUGAAAUCUCCUGGCUCAACUGGGAGGGGACGUUCAAUACUGUCAAGCUAGAGGACGGCAGAGGGAGGUGGAAUUCCCGGUGUAGUGGUGAAAUGCGUAGAUAUCGGGAGGAACACCAGUGGCGAAAGCGGCCUUCUGGGCCGAUCCUGACGCUCAGACGCGAAAGCUAGGGGAGCGAACGG